GAUGAAGAACGUAGCGAAAUGCGAUAAGUAGUGUGAAUUGCAGAAUUCAGUGAAUCAUCGAAUCUUUGAACGCACAUUGCGCCCCUUGGUAUUCCAUGGGGCAUGCCUGUUCGAGCGUCAUUUGUACCUUCAAGCUCUGCUUGGUGUUGGGUGUUUGUCUCGCCUCUGCGUGUAGACUCGCCUCAAAACAAUUGGCAGCCGGCGUAUUGAUUUCGGAGCGCAGUACAUCUCGCGCUUUGCACUCAUAACGACGACGUCCAAAAGUACAUUUUUGCACUCUUGACCUCGGAUCAGGUAGGGAUACCCGCUGAACUUAAGCAUAUCAAUAAGCGGAGGA
rnacentral:misc_RNA from 1 species